rnacentral:rRNA from 1 species
UACGUAGGUGGCAAGCGUUGUCCGGAUUUACUGGGCGUAAAGGGAGCGUAGGCGGAUUUUUAAGUGGGAUGUGAAAUACCCGGGCUUAACCUGGGUGCUGCAUUCCAAACUGGAAAUCUAGAGUGCAGGAGGGGAAAGUGGAAUUCCUAGUGUAGCGGUGAAAUGCGUAGAGAUUAGGAAGAACACCGGUGGCGAAGGCGACUUUCUGGACUGUAACUGACGCUGAGGCUCGAAAGCGUGGGGAGCAAACAGG